rnacentral:rRNA from 1 species
AACGAACGCUGGCGGCAUGCCUAACACAUGCAAGUCGAGCGAGACCUUCGGGUCUAGUGGCGCACGGGUGCGUAACGCGUGGGAACCUGCCCUUAGGUUCGGAAUAACUCCCCGAAAGGGGUGCUAAUACCGGAUAAUGUCUUCGGACCAAAGAUUUAUCGCCUUUGGAUGGGCCCGCGUUGGAUUAGCUAGUUGGUAGGGUAAAAGCCUACCAAGGCGACGAUCCAUAGCUGGUCUGAGAGGAUGAUCAGCCACACUGGGACUGAGACACGGCCCAGACUCCUACGGGAGGCAGCAGUGGGGAAUAUUGGACAAUGGGCGAAAGCCUGAUCCAGCAAUGCCGCGUGAGUGAUGAAGGCCUUAGGGUUGUAAAGCUCUUUUACCCGUGAUGAUAAUGACAGUACCGGGAGAAUAAGCUCCGGCUAACUCCGUG